UACGUAGGUGACAAGCGUUGUUCGGAAUUACUGGGCGUAAAGGGCGCGUAGGCGGUUCGUUAAGUCCUGUGUGAAAUCCCCCGGCUCAACUGGGGAACUGCACAGGAAACUAGCGGGCUUGAGUUCGGGAGAGGGAAGCGGAAUUCCGGGUGUAGCGGUGAAAUGCGUAGAUAUCCGGAGGAACACCGGUGGCGAAGGCGGCUUCCUGGACCGACACUGACGCUGAGGCGCGAAAGCUAGGGGAGCAAACGGG
rnacentral:rRNA from 1 species